UGGGGGAAACCCUGACGCAGCAACGCCGCGUGGAGGAUGAAAUAUCUUGGUAUGUAAACUCCUUUCGAUGGGGAAGAUUAUGACGGUACCCAUAGAAGAAGCCCCGGCUAACUUCGUGCCAGCAGCCGCGGUAAUACGAGGGGGGCAAGCGUUGUUCGGAUUUAUUGGGCGUAAAGGGUGCGUAGGCGGUUUGGCAAGUCUUGUGUGAAAUCUUCGGGCUCAACCCGAAGACUGCACAAGAAACUGCCGGGCUUGAGUAUGGGAGAGGUGAGUGGAAUUUCCGGUGUAGCGGUGAAAUGCGUAGAUAUCGGAAGGAACACCUGUGGCGAAAGCGGCUCACUGGACCAUAACUGACGCUGAUGCACGAAAGCUAGGGGAGCAAACAGGAUUAGAUACCCUGGUAGUCCUAGCCCUAAACGAUGAUUGUUUGAUGUGGCAGGUACCCAAUCCUGCCGUGUCGAAGCUAACGCGAUAAACAAUCCGCCUGGGGAGUA
rnacentral:rRNA from 1 species